rnacentral:lncRNA from 1 species
UAAAUUUCAAAGGUGUGGCUAGAUUUUACACUGAUUUGCAGAAUUGUGGCCGAACUUCAAAAAUAGCAAAAACGUGGCCGGAGUUUCACUCCGCGUUUUGAAAUUGUGGCCCCCGUUAAGUCUACCCUAACGGAGUUAACGGAGGGAGGGUAUUUCAGGGUUUUUUUAAUUUGUAACGGUCAAAUCUGUGUGUAUAUAUAAUCUGUGUGUAUAUACAACGGCUGUGUUUCAUUUUAACCCUAGAUAAUCUCCUCCUCUUUCUUGUGCAAGCCCUAAUCCCGAAUAAUCUCCUUCUCUUUCUUGUGUAAGCCAUGAGUUUUUGCUAUUGUGGGAAAUUGACAGCUGAUAGAGUCGUGUGGACUGACGCCAAUGCUGGGCGGAGAUUCAAGAACUGUGCGGAUGGUAGCAGUGGUUGCAGGUUUUUCCAAUGGGUUGACGGACCCCUUUGCAGUCGAGCACAAAUAGUAAUUCCAG